CCCGCACAAGCGGAGGACAUGUGGUUUAAUUCGAUGAUACGCGAGGAACCUUACCUGGGCUUAAAUGUAGACUGCAUAGCGUGGAAACAUGCUUUUCCUUCGGGACUGUUUACAAGGUGCUGCAUGGUUGUCGUCAGCUCGUGCCGUGAGGUGUCGGGUUAAGUCCCAUAACGAGCGCAACCCUUAUCGUUAGUUGCCAGCGGGUAAUGCCGGGGACUCUAGCGAAACUGCCGGUGUAAACCGAGAGGAAGGUGGGAUGACGUCAAAUCAGCACGGCCCUUAUGUCCAGGGCUACACACGUGUUACAAUGGCCGGUACAGAGGGCAGCUACUGGGUGACCAGAUGCAAAUCUCGAAAGCCGGUCUCAGUUCGGAUCGGAGUCUGCAACUCGACUCCGUGAAGCUGGAUUCGCUAGUAAUCGCGCAUCAGCCAUGGCGCGGUGAAUACGUUCCCGGGCCUU
rnacentral:rRNA from 1 species